GGGGAACGCUCGGUGUGCCCUGCUCUCUCAGCCUCACAACAGCUGUUGUGCAGGGAGAAGGGCAGGUGCAGCCCGCCUUGCGCAGAUGAGCAAGCUGAGGCCUGGGAGGGGCCCAGCGUCGGCUGCUCUGAUGGGGCCAGGCCCCUCAUACUGAAUGCCUUGGCUCCUAAUCCCACCCAUCUUUCCAAGGGUGGGUGAGGCAUGAAGGUAUGAUUGAUGUCAUUCCCCGAGUUACUAGGCUUGGAGGGCAGUCCUGAGACACCCCUUGUUGUUCCUCACUUUGGAUCUUUCUUGCUUUCUUUCUCUCCCUCUCUCUCUCUUGCUUUGUUUGUUUUUUUGGUUUUUUUUUGUUUUUUUUUUUUGUUUUUUUUUGAGACUGAAUUUCUCUCUGUUGCCCAGGCUGGAGUGCUAUGGCACAGUCUCAGCUCACUGCAAACUCUGCCUCCCGGGCUCAAGCAAUUCUCCUGCCUCAGCCUCCCGAGCAGCUGGGAUUACAGAUUCAUGCCAGGCUCAGAGCCUGUCCCGGUGACAGACGCCCAAACACCUUGAUGGCUGAGGAAAAGUAGAGCGAGGAGGGCUCUCUGAAGAUGCAAGCGUGUGGGUGGGACAAGUACAGGCAGCAGUGGAGAUGAAUUCACUUGGGAUGGAUUCCAAGGUUGUCUACACCUGGAGCAGUCACAGACUUCAACAUAUCUUUAAGUGUGGUGCCACCAGUAGCUGAGUUCAGGCCACUCCACGCCCAGCCACUGUUUCUGUUCAGGCCAAGGGAGCUGAUGCGGGAACUCACCAGCAUCGUGGGAAGCAGCUGCUCAUUGUCCUUUGUCGCUUCUGAAACGUUCGGCAGCAGCACAGAAGAGACAUCACCCCUUAAUGCUUUAUUUACAUGAGCUCUUUUGAGAAACUUUUUUUUUUUUUUUGAGACAGACUUUCACUCUUGUUGCCCAGGCUGGAGUGCAAUGGAACGAUCUCGGCUCACUGCAACCUCUGCCUCCCAGGUUCAAGCAAUUCUCCUGCCUCAGCCUCCCUAGGAGCUGGGAUUACAAGCGUGCACCACCACGCCCGGCUAAUUUUUUUAUUUUUAAUAGACAUGGGGUUUCACCAUGUUGGCCAGGCUGGUUUCGAACUCCUGACAACAGGUGAUCCACCCACCUCAGCCUCCCAAAGUGCUGGGAUUACAGGCGUGAGCCACCGUGCCCCACUGAGAAACAUUUUACAAACAGGUGCAUUGUGGGAGUGGGUGUGGUUAGUGUCGCAUCAGGGACGAGUCUGAACACAGACCUUGGCCGUGGCUGUGGGUCCUGCUCCUCAUUUUUCUGCGAGGACAUGAUACAAUCAGGGACUCUUGUGAAACUGCCUGGAAAGGAGCUUGGCUGGGUUGGUGUCAUCCCGGGAACACCUGCCAGCCACCUUCCCGCUUUGGGUUCCCUGAGGCGCAACCACAGGCCUAUGUGUGGGGCGUCGGGGGACUUGAGGCUUCCUUGUGAUGGUCUCCUGAGGCUGCCACACCCUCUGUCUCUGUGUCACUGGGAGCCCCUGAGCUUUGGGUCUGUAGCUGGGUACUCGGGUGCCGGCACAGCUUGUUCGUUUAGGGAGAAGACAAGAGGGCAGGCCUUCUGG
rnacentral:lncRNA from 10 species